rnacentral:rRNA from 1 species
UACGAAGGGGGCUAGCGUUGCUCGGAAUCACUGGGCGUAAAGCGCACGUAGGCGGACUCUUAAGUCAGGGGUGAAAUCCUGGAGCUCAACUCCAGAACUGCCUUUGAUACUGGGAGUCUUGAGUUCGGGAGAGGUGAGUGGAACUGCGAGUGUAGAGGUGAAAUUCGUAGAUAUUCGCAAGAACACCGGUGGCGAAGGCGCCACUCUGGGCCGGUACUGACGCUGAGGAGCGAAAGCGUGGGUAGCAAACAGGA